UGCACAAAAUGAGCUCAUUUCAAAUUUGAUGCCUGCUACAGGUCUCAAAAUAAUUGGGAUGGGGGCAUGUUUACCAUGGUGUAGCAUCUCCUCUUCUCUUCAAAACAGUGUGAAGACAUCUGGGCAUUGAGGUAAUGAGUUUCUGGAGUUAUCCUGAUGUAGGUUUCCAGCUGCUGAAGAGUUUGUGGUCGUCUUUGGCAUAUUUUUCUCUAUAGGUGAAAGAUCUGGACUGCAGGCAGGCCAAUUCAGCACCCGGACUCUUCUACGAUGAAGCCAUGCUGUUGUAAUAGCUGCAGUAUGUGGUUUUGCAUUGUCCUGCUGAAAUACACAAGGCCUUCCAUGAAAUAGACAUUGUCUGGAGGGGAGCAUAUGUUGCUCUAAAACCUUUAUAGACCUUUCAGCAUUCAUAGUGCCUUCCAAAACAUGAAAUCUGCCCAUACCGUAUGCACUUAUGCACGCCCAUACCGUCAGAGAUGCUGGCUUUUAAACUGAAUGCUGAUAACACGCUGGAAGGUCUCCCUCCUCUUUAGCCCGGACAACAUGGUGUCCGUGAUUUCCAACAAGCAUGUCAAAUUUGGACUCGUCUGAGCAUAGAACACUUUUCCACUUUGAAACGGUCCAUUUUAAAUGAGCCUUGGCCCACAGGACACAAUGGCACUUCUGGACCAUGUUCACACAUGGCUUCCUUUUUGCAUGAUAGAGCUUUAGUUGGCAUCUGCAGAUGGCAAAUCAAAUUCAAAGCACAACUGACAACAGCUAUUGGUCAUAACCCAACAAGACAGUGAUGGUAAUCUAACAGUGAUGGUAUUAGGCCUGUAUAAUUAAAAUAUACUGGUAUAAUUUAUAAUUUACUUAUUACUGCAUUUUUUUUUAAAGCAGUGUUUUGCAUGAGCAGUCCAUCUGAAGACCACAACACAGAGAGGACAUCAGUGGCAAAGUCAUCAAAGUUUGAGUGGGCUGUAUUCCUUCUUCUCAAUCAAGUCAAAGAGAGACUCCAAAACACUAAACGCUUUCUAAGGACUAACGUGUUCUGAACCACCCGAAGGACGAGAGAUUCUCAAAAAGCCCUGUAACACACCAAAGGAACUGGAAGAUUUGUGCACCAUGUUGAAGGAUCGAGCCUACAAAAAGAGAUUGGUUAGUAUUUCAAGGUUGUUAGAGUUUGCACUUGGAACACAGUGUCAUAUGCAUUGUUGUAACUCCAGCUGUGUGUGGUCUUUGGUGAGGUAGAGUGGGCUAAGCAAAGCACAACAAAGCAAACACCAAAGCAACCCUGUGUUUUACAUAUUAUUUAGUUUUAUCUUUUUGGUUCAAAUAUUGCUGUUAUUUAUCAAUGUGUAGCGGCCGAUCAGUGAGUGUUUUAACCUUAAGUGAGUUACCACUUUAGAAAGCGGUUUUGAAACACACACACACACACACACACACACACACACACACACACACACACAACCUGUUAUACUGUUUAGUUGUUAGGCAGUGUUUUAUGUAUUUGUAUCUGUUUUUCCAACUUGUUUUCUAUUUGAAAUAAAAUGUUUUCUAAUGAAACAUGA